CCUACGGGGAGCUGCAGUCGAGAAUCAUUCACAAUGGGGGAAACCCUGAUGGUGCGACGCCGCGUGGGGGAAGACGGUCUUCGGAUUGUAAACCUCUGUCUUUGGGGAAGAAAAUGACGGUACCCAAAGAGGAAGCUCCGGCUAACUACGUGCCAGCAGCCGUGGGAAUACGUAGGGAGCGAGCGUUGUCCGGAAUUACUGGGGGUAAAGGGAGCGUAGGCGGGCGAGAAAGUUGAAUGUUAAAUCUACCGGCUUAACUGGUAGCUGCGUUCAAAACUUCUUGUCUUGAGUGAAGUAGAGGCAGGCGGAAUUCCUGGUGUAGCGGUGAAAUGCGUAGAUAUUGGGAGGAACACCAGUGGCGAAGGCAGCCUGCUGGGCUUUAACUGACGCUGAGGCUCGAAAGCGUGGGGAGCGAACAGGAUUAGAUACCCUAGUAGUC
rnacentral:rRNA from 1 species